AGUGAACGCUGGCGGUAGGCCUAACACAUGCAAGUCGAACGGCAGCACAGUAAGAGCUUGCUCUUACGGGUGGCGAGUGGCGGACGGGUGAGGAAUACAUCGGAAUCUACUUUUUCGUGGGGGAUAACGUAGGGAAACUUACGCUAAUACCGCAUACGACCUACGGGUGAAAGCAGGGGAUCUUCGGACCUUGCGCGAUUGAAUGAGCCGAUGUCGGAUUAGCCAGUUGGCGGGGUAAAGGCCCACCAAGGCGACGAUCCAUAGCUGGUCUGAGAGGAUGAUCAGCCACACUGGAACUGAGACACGGUCCAGACUCCUACGGGAGGCAGCAGUGGGGAAUAUUGGACAAUGGGCGCAAGCCUGAUCCAGCCAUACCGCGUGGGUGAAGAAGGCCUUCGGGUUGUAAAGCCCUUUUGUUGGGAAAGAAAAGCAGCAGGUUAAUACCCCGCUGUUCUGACGGUACCCAAAGAAUAAGCACCGGCUAACUUCGUG
rnacentral:rRNA from 1 species